CCCUGCCUUGGCCAUAUUGCUUUUUCUCCUUUGUUUGUAGACAGCCCAGCAGAUCCUCCCAUAAAAAUAUUAUGGUUCUGGUCUGGUCUUGGUUUUCGGCUUUUUUACCUAACUCCUACUAUCCUAAAAUUCCCAUGGCUCUUUCAUCUAAAUGUUUCUUCUCAUCCUUGCUUUGUGUAGCUUUAAGAUAUAAACAGAGGACUCCAUAAAGACAGAUGAUUGAAUGACUCAGCUUGGGGCCAAGGUUACUAUUGGUGGUGCGUGCCUUGUGGCUCAGGUAAGAAGUUUGUCUGUCAGGGGGUUGGUUGGUUGGUUUUUGCAAUGCAACAGACUGAACCCAUAGCCUUCACACUGACCUACAUCCCCAACUUUUUUUUUCUUUCUUUUUUUUUUUAGACAAGAUCUCCCUAAAUCCUAAGUUGUCCAGAUGGUGCUCUAACUUGUGAUCCCCCUGCCUGGGCCUCCCAGAGUGCUGAGAUUAUAAACAUGCUUCACCAUGCUUAAACAUUCGCACCUUUCCAGGCAUACUGUCAAGCAUAUUAGAAAUAAAGCCUGAGACGCCAUGUUCAGGCUUAACUCACCAUCACGGAAACUGGAGCCUGCCACCCAAUCCUCAGCCUGGUAUCUGGGAUCUGAUUGCUUUGCAACCAACUUCCCUGUUGACACGGAAGCUCUGGUGGCAGAAGAAAGGCCAGUUUAAGAUGAAAGACAAAGCCAGGGAGCCCAGGGGACCCGCGAGCCUACAGAGGACACGGAAACCUUACUGGAAGAGCUGCUGGCCAGAGCGCAGGAGCAACUCACAUUUGAAUUCUCCCUGCUCAUUGGAGUAGCUGCCAGAACUCUCUCUUUUCCUCUCUUCCCAUCUUCGCAUGCAGUCACUACUCCACCUUUUGGCUCAGAUCAAUAUUUACCAC
rnacentral:lncRNA from 1 species